rnacentral:lncRNA from 1 species
AUAUUUUUAAACUGAAGUACAGUUGAUUUAUAUUCCUAUAUUUGUUUUGGGUGUACAACAUAGUGAUUCGAUACUUUUAUGGAAUGUACUCUAGGUGAGGUUACUGCUGUGCUCUCCUUCCCGUCGACUCUCUCCUCCGAAGAGAGCAGAGAUGCCCCUCGUCUUCCAGCCCAGCUCUCCGUUGUUUCUCAACACCUCAGCGGGACAGAGCCUGCCAGAACCGAGCCACAGAAAAGUGUAUCUGAGAUGGAUAAUUUCAAAGGCCCCUAUGCUCAGUGCUCUGCUCAUUAUUCUAUGGCAAAAAUCCAACCAACCAUAGACAUACCCCAUAGAUAUGUGACACCUGAACCCCGUGAUGUCCACUGACAGUGGUCACAAUGUGGCAAAUCGACAAUGCUGUGCUGUAGCAUCGGCAAGAUGUUAAAGAAAGGUAAGUAAAUCAGUGCCUUUUCUAUGAUCUCCAACCUCCCUGACACAGGAUGCUAUCCCAUCGCUGGAGGCUGAGCAGGCUUGGGUCCCACUUUGGCUCUGGAGGUGGUCGACACAGCCUGGCCCAGUGGCCUGUGUUGAACCCUACUGAAAUAUCUACUAUCUCCUACAUUCUGGCUGGGGUCAGGGUUGUGAGUGGCAUCAAGGCCUCAAGCAAUUGCAGGCAGGGCUCAGCAAGCCUAGUCCUUGCAUGCUGCUGGGAUUCCCAGCUCAAGGCUCAUUCCUGACAGUGCAGCCUCCUAGCACCCAAGCACCCUCAGCAGUGUGCUGUGGACCCUGAAGGGAUUAGCCUGGACCGGGUGUUUGUGUGAUGCUUUAGAAGGAAAAAGUCCUGAGACUCAAGCCCUUUCAUGUUUGCUCAGACACAUUCCACUCUAUUUCUCUUCCCAGGAAACCAACUUUCUCUAAGGCUUUGGUUACUCCAGGAACCCAAAGGAGGCCUGAAUAGUGCUGUCGUCUUUUGGACAAUUUCAGCACAUUCCACUCCAUCUCACAGCCCUGGAAGCCAACUUGCCCUAAGGCUCUGGUUGCCCCCAAGAACCAAGGUGGGUCUGAAAAAGUGCUGCCAUUUUGUGAACAUUUCCUGGAACUACAACUUGAUCACUCUUGCUCACAGGCACCUCAGUUCCCAAGGCCUGGGGUUCUGCGAAUGACAGCCACCCUCAGGAAAUGUCCUGCGACCAGCACCAGAGAAAGAAAUUCCAAACACAGCCAACUUUCAGGAAGCUGAACCAAAGCUAAACUGUCCUCACACCCUUUAAGGAAAAAAAAAAAAAGACAAUACAAACCCAAACCUCCCCGACCAUACAAGAUGCUCAACAUUCCUAAUUGCUGCAGAAAUGCCAGUCGAAAAGACGAUGGGAAAUUAAAUCCUACCACUCCCAAUGGCCAACAAUUAAUAUGGGAUGGAGUCUGGGGGACAAAGAAUCGCCCUAAGCUCUCAGUGGGAAUAGACAUCAGCGGCAGCCAGUAUCAUGGCCAGUCUCCAAAUGCCUGAAAAAAAUAAAAAAUCAAGUUCUACUAAGCUGAGGAUGCGACAUUCCCCCACUUUGGCCUGUAUCCUGACAAAACCAUCGAUCAAAAGGCACAAGCACCACAACAAACCUCCAGCACGACUUCCAGUAGCCGAGAUGCAAACCACAAAAUCUCCAACAAGAAGUUAAACAAGAAGUGUAGAUAUAUACAGCAGACUAUUUCUCACUCAUUAAAAAUCACCACUGAAAUUCGGAAAUUAGGACACUGGGAGCCACAGGCAUGGAACUAGAAGGAUCAUACACUAAGGGGAGUCAGUCAGGCAGAGAAAGCCUAUGGUAUAUGAGGUACAUUCCAAGCAAAACAAAUACAAACAUACGAGGCAACAUAUUUACAAUCCAAAAAGACUGAGAAUCCAAAGUCAAACAAAGUCUUCAAGAGAAGUAAGUAAAGGGCCUUGAAUGAAUUAGAAGUUCCGUACCUACACAGACAAGAAAUGUUGUAAUAGAUAAUCCGUGAGGAUUAUCCUCAUCCUUCCUUCAUUCUACAUGUACACAGGAAUCUGUAUCUCCAACCUAUACACAGAAAUCUCUAAGAGACAUUCCUCAAAAAUUAAGUGUCCUCCUUCUUUGUAUACACAAAACGUGUAUCUGGGAUACAUAAUCCAUGAGGACCUGAUGCUCAGCAUUCUGCUUGACAUUCUGUGGCCAAAAUAAAAAAAGAAUAGAGAUACCACAAGAUGAUUAAAUAUCUGAUCAGUGAGCUGUAUACUGACAAAAAUCACAACACUUCAAAUUGACUAUAUUGCAAGAUAGUGUCUGGAAAACGUUAAAGAAAAUGAAAGAGUUUCAGUUCCUACUCUAUGAUCCCCAACCUCCCUGACUUGGGAUGCUAUCCCAUCCCUGGAGGCUGAGCAGGCUUCUGUCGGACUCCUGGACUGGUGUGUGGCAGAGCCUGGAAUGUGGAAUGACAACUGCCCUGAGGAAAUGUCCAGGACAGAUUACUGGAGAAAAAGUUGAAACACAGCUGACUUUCAGGAAACCAACUGCCAAAGGUAAAUUGUGUUCAUACCCUUUAAGCCAAAAAAAACAAAAAAAACAAAAAACUCAAACAAAACAAAUUCAAAUCUCCACCACAGGACCUGAUGCUAAUAUUCCCUAAAUGCUGGAGGAAUGUCAAUCAAAAUGACAAUGGGAAAUCAAAUUUCACCACUCAAUGGCCAUCAUCACAAGUCUACAAAAAAUAAAUUAGGGAGAGAGCCUGGAGGAAAAAGAAUCAUCCUAAGCUGUUGGUGGGAAGAUACAAUGGCAUCAGCCAGUAUAAUGCACUUUGAAUGACUGGAGAAAAACUAUCAAGGGGUACUAAGCCUAGGAUUUGAGAAAAGCUUAUAUCCUGAGAAAACCAUGUGGCUAUGUUAAACACUGCACUGCAAUUUGUAAACAUAUACUUAAUGUAUAGCUACAAACACAAUAGAAAAGCAAGAAGAAAAAACAAAAUGAAGAAAAGCAAAAUGAAAAUAGGAUAUUUCUUACAACAGAAGAUCUGAUUGAGAAGUUUCCUUGCAUGAGAUUAUUUAAAAAAAAAACAAACUAGAUUUACUGCUUUAAUCUAUAUUUCAAAAAGAACUAAUUAGUCAAAUGAGGCCAAUUAAUCUACCAACAGGAUAACAAGAUAAAUAUGGACAAGAAAGCAGGUGAAAACAUUUUACCAGACACAUUUUAUGACACUGUGAUAAUACCAUUAAAAAAUACCGAAAAAUUUUGAUGAUUUUCUUUAAAGAAUGAAUCAAAAGGAGUUUACUCUGAAGAUGUAAUUUCCAUAUUUUAUAUGUGCCAAUAUUUUCCUGCAUGAAAUAUGGAAAAUUUCAUAUUUCAUGCAGGAAAAUCUAUGCCUAUAACUUCCUCUGUGGAAUACGGCAAAUUUCAUAUUCCAUAUAGGAAAAUCUCUGCCCAUAAUUUCCUGUAUGAAAUAUGGAAAAUUCUGAUUGAAAUUAUAUAUUUUCAGGAAAAUGAAUCUACAUAUUCUCAUACUAAGGCAAGGUUGCCAGAAACACACAGAAAACGGCCAUUAAAAAAUCACACUUGUGUAGAAUCUAAAAUAUGAGACAAAUGAACCUACCUAUGAAAUAGAGAUGGAGAAGGAAAUGGAAACCCACUCCAGUACUCUUGCCUAGAAAAUUCCAUGGAUGGAGGAGCCUGGUAGGCUACAGUCUAUGGGGUCACAAAGAGUCAGACACGACUAAGCAACUAACACACACACACACACGAAACAGAGAGAGACUCACAAAUCCAGGAGCUAAUGGUUGCCAGACUGGGGUAGAGGUUAAGAGGUAAAAUCACUAUCUGAAAUGUAAUAAAAUAAUAGGAUAUAGUAUGCAGCAGAGAG